AAGGAUUUAAGUUAAAUAAAACUAAUAGCCUUCAAAGCUAUAAAUAUAGAAAAUCUUUAAGCCUUA
rnacentral:tRNA from 1 species